UGCCGCUGCGAGGGUUUACGACAG
rnacentral:siRNA from 1 species